CCUCUUACAAACUCUACACGUCCAUUGCAACAGAGUCACCAGUGCCACAGCGGAAUUCCUUUGCCUGGUCACAACAGCCCGAAAGUGAACUCGCCCGGGAGUGGAGCUGUCGGAUGCUCAAGACUUUCUAAUCCCUAGUUCCAGAAGAAGAAGUGGAGUGGAGUGGAGUGUAAAAAAGCGAUGGAGAAAGAUGUGUUUUGACAGAAUUGUAUCUCUGAUGACAUCAUCCAUUCCUUCGUUGAAAGGACAGCAAAGCGUGGUGCUUGGUUGAUUUCAAAGAUGACAUUCAAUGGAUUGCUGAUUUCUAGGCACCCGUUUGAGGUGGAGGUCCAAGAAGUUCCUAGUGAGUAUGCAAACGGUCAGCGAAGGAGUGCAGUGAUGGUCCUCUUCGCAGAGAACCAAGUGGAUUAAAAAGGAUUAUAUAAUGGGAAACUGCAAUUGCAGGAUAUGAGACCGAUGCAACUGUAUUCCUGAUCAGUGGCCAGUUUGGUGGAGGAAAAGAUCCAGGGAGUGUUUACUUCACCAUGUAUUGGAUUUCCACCAGGCCUGGAGGCCAAAAUGUGAAAUGAAUGGCUCUGUCCAGAAUCUGAGGGUCCAAGGAGGAAGGUGAUGACCUUUUGGAGAUGCCAAAUUCAGCACAGGCCCUUCCCAGCACCAUUUCUGAAGCAAGGGAGAGAAUGGGGGGGACCUGACCCAGCUGACCUUGUGCCCUGUAUUAUAUUCUCUGGCCUUAUGAUGACAUAUACCUUAUGAUGACAGUGAC